rnacentral:piRNA from 1 species
UGCAGAGGACAGAGCCACUACUGGGU